rnacentral:rRNA from 1 species
AGAGCGAACGCUGGCGGCAGGCCUAACACAUGCAAGUCGAGCGCCCGUAGCAAUACGGGAGCGGCAGACGGGAUAGUAACACGUGGGAACGCGCCCUUCGGUUCGGAAUAACUCAGGGAAACUUGAGCUAAUACCGGAUACGCCCUUACGGGGAAAGAUUUAUUGCCGAAGGAACGGCCCGCGUCCGAUUAGCUAGUUGGUGAGGUGAUGGCUCACCAAGGCGACGAUCGGUAGCUGGUCUGAGAGGAUGACCAGCAUCACUGGGACUGAGACACGGCCCAGACUCCUACGGGAGGCAGCAGUGGGGAAUAUUGGACAAUGGGCGCAAGCCUGAUCCAGCCAUGCCGCGUGGAUGAUGAAGGCCUUAGGGUUGUAAAGUCCUUUUAACGGGGAAGAUAAUGACGGUACCCGUAGAAUAAGCCCGGACUAACUUCGUGCCAGCAGCCGC